rnacentral:rRNA from 1 species
UACGUAGGGGGCUAGCGUUGUCCGGAAUCAUUGGGCGUAAAGCGCACGUAGGCGGUUUGUUAUGUCGGAUGUGAAAGCCCUUGGCUCAACUGAGGAAGUGCAUCCGAAACUGGCAAGCUAGAGUACUAAAGAGGGUCGCGGAAUUCCCGGUGUAGAGGUGAAAUUCGUAGAUAUCGGGAGGAACACCGGUGGCGAAGGCGGCGACCUGGGUAGAUACUGACGCUGAGGUGCGAAAGCGUGGGGAGCAAACAGG